UACAGAGGGUGCGAGCGUUAAUCGGAAUUACUGGGCGUAAAGCGCACGUAGUCGGCUUUGCAAGCCGGUUGUGAAAUCCCCGGGCUCAACCUGGGAACUGCAUCCGGGACUGCAUUGCUAGAGUAUGGGAGAGGGAAGCGGAAUUUCUGGUGUAGCAGUGAAAUGCGUAGAUAUCAGAAGGAACAUCAGUGGCGAAGGCGGCUUCCUGGACCAAUACUGACGAUCAGGUGCGAAAGCGCGGGGAGCAAACAGG
rnacentral:rRNA from 1 species